AUUGAACGCUGGCGGCAUGCCUUACACAUGCAAGUCGAACGGCAGCGGGGGAGAAGCUUGCUUUUCCUGCCGGCGAGUGGCGAACGGGUGAGUAAUACAUCGGAACGUGCCCUGUAGUGGGGGAUAACUAGUCGAAAGAUUAGCUAAUACCGCAUACGACCUGAGGGUGAAAGUGGGGGACCGCAAGGCCUCAUGCUAUAGGAGCGGCCGAUGUCGGAUUAGCUAGUUGGUGGGGUAAAGGCCUACCAAGGCGACGAUCAGUAGCUGGUCUGAGAGGACGAUCAGCCACACUGGGACUGAGACACGGCCCAGACUCCUACGGGAGGCAGCAGUGGGGAAUUUUGGACGAUGGGCGAAAGCCUGAUCCAGCAAUGCCGAGUGUGUGAAGAAGGCCUUCGGGUUGUAAAGCACUUUUGUCCGGAAAGAAAUGGCUCUGGUUAAUACCUGGGGUCGAUGACGGUACCGGAAGAAUAAGGACCGGCUAACUACGUGCCAGCCGCCGCAGUAA
rnacentral:rRNA from 1 species